GAUGAACGCUGGCGGCGUGCCUAAUACAUGCAAGUCGAGCGAACGGACGAGAAGCUUGCUUCUCUGAUGUUAGCGGCGGACGGGUGAGUAACACGUGGAUAACCUACCUAUAAGACUGGGAUAACUUCGGGAAACCGGAGCUAAUACCGGAUAAUAUUUUGAACCGCAUGGUUCAAAAGUGAAAGACGGUCUUGCUGUCACUUAUAGAUGGAUCGGCGCUGCAUUAGCUAGUUGGUAAGGUAACGGCUUACCAAGGCAACGAUGCAUAGCCGACCUGAGAGGGUGAUCGGCCACACUGGAACUGAGACACGGUCCAGACUCCUACGGUAGGAAGCAGUAGAGAAUCUUCCGCAAUGGGCGAAAGCCUGACGGUGCAACGCCGCGUGAAUGAUGAAGGUCUUCUGAUCGUAAAACUCUGUUAUUAGGGAAGAACAUAUGUGUAAGUAACUGUGCACAUCUUGACGGUACCUAAUCAGAAAGCCACGGCUAACUACGUG
rnacentral:rRNA from 1 species